rnacentral:lncRNA from 1 species
GGCUCAUGCUUAUUAGACACACACGAGGUCUCAACUGUGGCAGCUUGGAAAUAGCUUAUGAACUCAAGGUGACAGUUUUCUUUGGUCUUGAACUGGGCCUUCUUGUACAGUGCCUAGGAGUGACUUCUGCAUAGCAUCCGGGGCCUGUGUGGGAUUUUGAUUGACAUGUGCAGCUGCCUCAUCCACCUUCAGUCAUAGCACCAUUGGACACAUUGGGUUCCAGACUAUCCUGCAAGGAUCAUGCCCUCCUGGGAAGCAGGUGGCUGUUGAGCUUGGUGAUCUUUCCCAAGGAUGGGGCAGAGGGGUUUCACCCUGGAGCACCAGGAGUACCAGCUGUGAUGAGCUGUGCUGUGCCAGGUCUGUCUCCAUUUGGCAUUUGAUGGGAACCACGGGCUUUGGAACAUUCUGCUUCUACCUGGACUCAGUUGUGAGACAUCACCCAUAUUGGAUUCCAGCCUGCCUUAACCCACCGUGGCCUCAUCUUAACCGGAGUACACUAGAAAACACCAUAUUUCCAAAUAAAGUCUGACUCAUAGCUACUGCGACUUAGGUCUUGUGUAUAUCUUUCUCAGAGACAUAGUUCCUCUUGUAGAGCAGCUGUCUUUGUGUGUGUUGUUCUUUGUAUAUGGCAACUAAUUUUCAGACUAUGUAGCAAGGCCACUUUCAGGAGAGACACUACCUUCUAUAUUCCAAAAUCUAGAAGGACUUCAAAAAAAACAUGUGUUUAACUUAAACAUUACAUCAUCUCUACAGCUAUCAAGAUACAGAGCCAAGGAUGGAGAGAUGGAUCAGUGGUUA